rnacentral:rRNA from 1 species
AACGAACGCUGGCGGCAGGCUUAACACAUGCAAGUCGAACGCUCGUAGCAAUACGGGAGUGGCGGACGGGUGAGUAACGCGUGGGAACGCGCCCUGAGGUACGGAAUAACUGCGGGAAACUGCAGCUAAUACCGUAUGAGCCCCGUGAGGGGGAAAGAUUUAUCGCCUUAGGAGCGGCCCGCGUCGGAUUAGCUAGUUGGUGGGGUAACGGCUUACCAAGGCUUCGAUCCGUAGCUGGUCUGAGAGGACGAUCAGCCACACUGGGACUGAGACACGGCCCAGACUCCUACGGGAGGCAGCAGUGGGGAAUCUUGCGCAAUGGGGGCAACCCUGACGCAGCCAUGCCGCGUGAAUGAUGAAGGCCUUAGGGUUGUAAAGUUCUUUGCCCGUGACGAUGAUGACGGUAACGGGAGAAUAAGCUCCGGCUAACUUCGUGCCAGCAGCCGCGGUAAUGUAGCGUGU